rnacentral:rRNA from 1 species
GACGAACGCUGGCGGCGUGCCUAAUACAUGCAAGUAGAACGCUGAAGGAGGAGCUUGCUUCUCUGGAUGAGUUGCGAACGGGUGAGUAACGCGUAGGUAACCUGCCUGGUAGCGGGGGAUAACUAUUGGAAACGAUAGCUAAUACCGCAUAAUAGCAGUUAUUGCAUGAUAACUGUUUGAAAGGUGCAAUUGCACCACUACCAGAUGGACCUGCGUUGUAUUAGCUAGUUGGUGGGGUAACGGCUCACCAAGGCGACGAUACAUAGCCGACCUGAGAGGGUGAUCGGCCACACUGGGACUGAGACACGGCCCAGACUCCUACGGGAGGCAGCAGUAGGGAAUCUUCGGCAAUGGACGGAAGUCUGACCGAGCAACGCCGCGUGAGUGAAGAAGGUUUUCGGAUCGUAAAGCUCUGUUGUAAGAGAAGAACGAGUGUGAGAGUGGAAAGUUCACACUGUGACGGUAUCUGACCAGAAAGGGACGGCUAACUACGU